CAGUCGAGCGGGACAGAUGGGAGCUUGCUCCCUGAUGUUAGCGGCGGACGGGUGAGUGAACACGUGGGUAACCUGCCUGUAAGACUGGGAUAACUCCGGGAAACCGGGGCUAAUACCGGAUGGUUGUUUGAACCGCAUGGUUCAAACAUAAAAGGUGGCUUCGGCUACCACUUACAGAUGGACCCGCGGCGCAUUAGCUAGUUGGUGAGGUAACGGCUCACCAAGGCAACGAUGCGUAGCCGACCUGAGAGGGUGAUCGGCCACACUGGGACUGAGACACGGCCCAGACUCCUACGGGAGGCAGCAGUAGGGAAUCUUCCGCAAUGGACGAAAGUCUGACGGAGCAACGCCGCGUGAGUGAUGAAGGUUUUCGGAUCGUAAAGCUCUGUUGUUAGGGAAGAACAAGUACCGUUCGAAUAGGGCGGUACCUUGACGGUACCUAACCAGAAAGCCACGGCUAACUACGUGCCAGCAGCCGCGGUAAUACGUAGGUGGCAAGCGUUGUCCGGAAUUAUUGGGCGUAAAGGGCUCGCAGGCGGUUUCUUAAGUCUGAUGUGAAAGCCCCCGGCUCAACCGGGGAGGGUCAUUGGAAACUGGGGAACUUGAGUGCAGAAGAGGAGAGUGGAAUUCCACGUGUAGCGGUGAAAUGCGUAGAGAUGUGGAGGAACACCAGUGGCGAAGGCGACUCUCUGGUCUGUAACUGACGCUGAGGAGCGAAAGCGUGGGGAGCGAACAGGAUUAGA
rnacentral:rRNA from 2 species